UAAUAUUCCGGUUAUAACAUCAUUGACAGCUGAGUACAACAACUAGACCUUAGUGAGAACUUCGCCAUGAACACUUCUAAGAUCUCCUGUGCAUUUGUGAUUCUUUUCACGCUGCUGAAAGGAGCGCUGUUGAUGACAUACCCACCCAAUGUCAAGAGUCUCACUGUGGACGGGGGCGAUAAUGUCAUCAUCGAUGAGGGCCAGGUGGUCAGUGUCUCCUGCUUCUUUGAGAAGGGCAAUCCCCCAGCUCACUUCUAUUUGCUGGAUAAACAUGGAACGAAGCUGAAUUCCUCUAGUUCUGAAGGACACCUUAGGUCCUCUCUUACUGCCCGGUGUGAAGACGACUGGCCAGUUGUCAGGUGUGAAGGCAACGGGUCGCAACAUAAUAGAUCCGUGACACUACUCGUCAAGUGUCGUCCUCAGUUUAUUGACAAGUCAACAAAAGUUGUUAAUCCUGCUCUUGACACUGUAACCUUUGGUGUCAAGUCUCACACCACAGCAGUCAAAGGAUGCCUCUUGACAUCAGUUUCUAUAAAACAUUACACCGAGAGGGGAGUGAACUGCACUCUCACUGGUCAUCCACCUGACCUCGUCCUGAGUCUUCAGCUUGAGAAGGAAGAGGACAGUUUAUGUAGAAUGUGGACCUUGACUCUCAGCAAUGACUGGGGUUCUUCCAACCCAAUCUUUUUUAUCAGAGAUGGAUCAACGCAAGAGCCAUCACCAUCUUCAGGGAAAACAAUAAACAUUCAACUUGCAUACGCCAUUGUGGUGACUGUUGUUUUGAUUCUUGUUGUUGGUACUAUUACCAUUAAAAAGGUCAAAGAGAGAAGAUCUGUCUUGGAAGCUCUGCGACUUAAAAAGAUAACUACUGAAAAAAAAAUGCCUACAGAUGGGAGCAGAGAUCGGUACGAAAGUGUAAGAGGAAACUUACCAAGUAAGUCAUUUUUGUAAACAUAAUAUUUUGAUUUCAAUUUCUUUGUUAUUUAUCAGCAUUGUUUUUGCAUCUUUUUCACUUUUCAUUUUCAAAGUAAAGUAAACAGAAAGCGAACAACCUGGUUUGAGAGGCUGAGCGAGACUAUCCGAGUUGUCUCAUCGGAACAGUAACAUGAGAAUACCCGACUAUCACACGGGUGUGUGUCGGUUGAUCUCAAAGCUCUGUUUCCAGUCAACUCCGAUACCACGUGAUAUGCAAAUGCUGCUCGUAUCCUAGUAUCCUUUAUCCUAAAACGCGUACGCGUUCAUCAGGUCUGUUAAGAGUUACAAAAGAUAGGUGAUAGCAAUGCAUAAAUAUGUUACAUGUAUUUGUUAAAAUAUCUUGGUAUACUUUUCUUUGUUUCCUUCUGAAUUACCAUGUCCAAUGAUAGCUUAUACAAUGUUUCUCUUGUUGUGUCUUUCUUUUUCUUACAGUUUGCAGGAAUGUUUGAGAUGAGUUUUUAAUUUUUAAAAAACCUAAACUGAGAGUGAAUCUGAUAAUAAAGUGAUUAUUAAAGAAACAAAAAUUUCUGAGGAAAAUUUUUAAAUUAUUUGACUGUUUGCUAAUUUUGUACUAAAUUUUUCAAUUUCGUUAACAGAUGCUUUUUUAUUCUGCACAUAUUUUAUUUAUUGCAUGGUUAUUGUAGUUAUGUUCUUCUCUUGCCUUAUAAAAUUGAUAAUUACCAGGUUUUAAUACAAACACUCUUAAACAGUGGCUAAGUUCAUUUUUUUUAUUUCAUGGUAUAUUUAUUUAUUUUAUUUUCAUGUUGUUUCGUAAGAGCUAUAAGCGUAUUUACCAUAGUCUAUAAGUCACUGCAUGGUAUGAGCACCGACAGACAUACUGGAUGUGUAUACGCGUCCAUGGUAUGAGAAACGAAAUAAACUAACGGCAGCAUUCCUUGGAGACACCACUCUAUAGUGUGAUGUUGAUGGGCUGACCUUCUCAGACCUAGUCAAACAAGCACGUGUGAGGCUGGACAGAUGAAUGGAUUGCCCAGACCAGUUGUCGUUUUUACUGAUGUUUUGUUGUGAUGAACAGUUUGUACGAGAGUGAAGAGCAUCUCACUGUUUGAUGUCUGACAGUUAAAAAUACUUUUUGAAUAGUGAAGAAACUGUUAUAUAAAUGUAAAGUCUGGUUCUUUCUUAUCUGUACUCUCUUUCUAUGUAUACUUCUCUCUGCAUGUUAAAGAAUAAACUACCGGGACAUCUGAUGUAGGAGUAAGCAGAAAACAAAAUUAAAAAUGAAUGUGAACUGUAUGAUAUAGAGACGGGUGAUGAAAAACUGAUACCAAAGCAUGAAAAUAUUCAACGUUUACAUUACUUGCAUUAAACAUUGUGUAAAGAGUAAAAGAACGACAAAACGAUGAAAUAGCUUAAACCAAGACAUGUAAAAAGACAGUAAGAAUAUUUUGACUCUAAAAAGAGAUAAAAGCUUGGUCUGUGUACUUAUGCAGUGAAAUUUUCAUCAUAAACUUUGGUAAAGAGUCUGCUUCGCUGCACAAAUGAUGAUGAUGAUGAUGGAGAUUUAUAACGCGCAAUUUCCGUAUCACAAAGAUACGCUCAAUGCGCAGAAACAAAUUCAACUAUAUGGCACUUAGGUAAUGGACAUUUACAAAACUGUCAUUGGGAGAUAUGCAUAGAUUAUUUUAACACACACACAUACUGAUAUGAUGGUGUGUGGAAUUUACCUUACAUGUGGAUUUUUAGUAUAGAAUUUAUUGUAUCGGUCUUGUGUGUUUAUAUGUGUGUUUGCCUCUGUAUUACCCCUAUGUAUUUGUUUAACAGGGGAAUAACAUGAUGUUCUACUCGAUGUAGUUGUGGUUUCAUUUUACACAGUGUGUGUGGAUUCAAAGUGUUUUCCACUGUUAAAGUAGUAUAGAGGAAAAAGGGUAUUCAUUUACUCUGACACUGCCUAGCAUAGAAAUCACAGUUUUUUUCAGACAUUAUUCAAACUUCAUAGCAAAAUUUCAUUUCGAGAUUGUAUUUUUUGACUGGCUUUUAUUUCAAAGGAAGGAGAUAAGCAUUCUUAUUAUGCACUAAUUUUAAGAAUAUCUGCAAAAUGUACAUCUUGGCUUAUCUCCCUUCACUUGUAUGGCAUAAUACUGAUGUACCUACUGCUUAUCAACCAGUCUCUCUUUUCAUUCACAAUAUGAUGUCACCAUGUUUACAUCACUGUUACAUGCAAACCCACAUUCAAAACAAUCAGAGUAAGCUGACAGUAGACAAACUAAAUAUUCAUGGGCUAAAUUAUUCGAAGGCCUAGUAUUUUUAUAAACAAAGGAUGCACCAUUUAGAUGUCAGAAUGGAGAACAUGAAGUCUCUCCAUGGAUUCCAGCGAACACCUAAUACACAUGAGAUGUUACGCAACAUUACAAAUCUUUUAAAAAGACUUUUAAAAGGAUGUACCUUUGUAUAAUUUACUAUUUUUAAGUCUUAGUAUAUAACAACAAUAAUUGACAUUUUUUUUCUCAAACUUCUAUGAUCUUUAUCAAUCGCUUUCUGUAUAGAAUUCUGAGUUGAGUAUAUAAAUAAUAUAGCGACUUCUUACAAUAGUCCUUUCUGUUGUGUUAUAUCUGAAUACAGUUGAGUUUAAAGCAUCAUGCAUUUCUGUGAUUCUGUGAUCUAUGAUGGAUUUUCUUUCCAAAAUACUGUACUCUACAAUUAUAAAAGUGCAUUUGUAUAGACCGCUUCCCCAUAAAAAGAUAACACAUUGUACAUGAAGGUGAAGCCAGUCUAAUAAACAAAAAACGAAUUAUGCUAUAAUAAAAUACAAUGUACAUACUAGCAGUCGAUAAGUUUAUGCUUUUUCUAAAGUCACGAUAUAUUGUGGAGCAGUAUCCUGGCUUCUAGUUAUAGCACACAAACACCUUUUGGGAAAUAGUAGCUUCAAUUUAGUCAUGUGUUUGGUUAAAUGAUAGUGCUAUUUGUAAUGAAACUUCAACUUCUUAUAUUGUAUUAAACACAUUGUCAUAUUUGCUA
rnacentral:misc_RNA from 1 species